UUUUAAUCUGGUAAAGUAAAUAGUCAUUUAUUUUCAAGAAAGUUAUAUAUCAUAUAAUAUAUAUAAUAAAUAAUAAUAUAACACUACAUAAAUACAUAUUAUAUAUUGUUCCUUCUCUUUUUCUCUGAACCCUCUAGAGCUGACUGGCUGUGUUUCAUACCGUCCUUUUGCUCCCAGUUUGGACCUCGUUUGCCAGACCCCCUUCUGGUCAGCAGGACCCGUGUGGCGGAGUUCUGGCUGCUUGAACGAAGGAGGAGAGUUGUGAGCCGCCUCUACGCGAGCCUGCGAGGACUUCCCAUGUCACGUGCUCACAUGUGCUGUCCAUCCUCCUUCCUGGUGGGUGAGCGCGUCCCAGAGACACCUGGAGACUUGUGCUGAAGAUGCUGGAGCCAGCAAAUGGGCAGAGCCCGUGUUCCCGCCGCUCCGCAUAGAGGAGGGGACACACACUUGCCACCCGCUCAUCAGGAGCAGCAGUUUGGCGCGUAGCCUUUACUUAAAGCUCAAGUGCCAAGCGGUGAAGACACUCCUACGGCAGGCGGUGAACGUGGGACUGAUGCUAUGCGGUUGUAACGCAUUUGAUGAAGCAGUUGCCUCCCAGGACUUAGAAGGCGGACGCAGUUCCGUCGAAGCCUGAGCCUGUUGGGGAGCGAGGGGAGGGGGGAAGCGGGGUAGGAGGUGUGAGGAUUUUCUUUUCUCCUCUGAAGACGUUACAGAGCAGAGAGGAGCUCGUUGAAAUCACUCUCUCGUUUGCAAACAGAAAUGAAAUUGAAUAGCAAGCGUCCAAAGAGCCAUGGAUAAGGAGCCGCCGGGGUUAUCCGGUGACGAAGUGUUCCCUGGGUGUCUGCCAUCUGUGCAGUUAAAGAAAAACAGCCAGUGCUGCCACUGAAGAGAUUAGAGCGGAGCAGAGAGAAAAGCCCAUAAAUACAAUUUGCUGGGAGGGGCACCAGGCGUUGUGUAGGACACAGGGUGAAGGACUUCCCCCUGAGCUGUCACCUCCGAUAGGGGACACCAGGAGCACAAAUGGGAGCUGGCACAGGAUGAUGCCGUCUUCCCGAUGCCAGUGCAGCCGUGCCGGCCUCACACAAGCCCAGCCGCGAGCUGAGUGCCUAGAACACAGCCUGGAACGUGGGGAUGCCACCUGUCAACCACAAAGAGCACCCGAAAGGCCAGAUGCUCACAAGCAGCCGUCCCGGGGACACCAUUCAACGCAGAACCGUCUCUGAGCACACGGCCUUCUGCGAGGGGUUUUAUGUGGUAGAACAUGGAAUCGAAUUGCACGUCAGUUAUUAAUGGAAUUCUUCAAUACAAGCACAGCCGUUCAACGGAAGGAAGAGGAUGCACAAAUAAAUGCUAAUAAAUAGGGUCAUAAAGAAGUGGUUCUGCCUUCAAACCAAUUCUAAAGCGUUCAGUAAGACAGUGACACUGCACAUCUUUCCUGUGACACGCUCAAAGCAGUUUUUCGUGCAUUCAGAAGUCAUCGUGUGUGUGUGUGCACGUGUGUGUGAAUGAGUCAUGAUGGAAAUGCC
rnacentral:lncRNA from 1 species